rnacentral:rRNA from 1 species
AAAAACAUGGCUUUUUGAUAAUAAUUUUAAGUCAGGCCUGCCCUAUGAAUUUUUUUAAAUGGCCGCAGUAUCUUAACUGUGCAAAGGUAGCAUAAUCACUAGUUUUUUAAUUGAAAGCUUGUAUGAAGGGUACGAUGAGAAAAUAGCUGUCUCUAUAAAAAUUUUAUUGAAUUUUAUUUUUAAGUAAAAAAGCUUAAAUUUAAAUAAAAGACGAGAAGACCCUUUAGAGUUUUAUAUUUAUAAGUAAUAAACCUUUUAGUAUUAAAAAUUUUAUUUUUUUUAUAAUAUUUGAUUGGGGUGAUUAGAAAAUUAAUAAAACUUUUCUUUUAAAGUUACAUUGAUUUAUGAAAAAUUGAUCCUUAAAUAAAGAUUAAAAGAUAAAAUUACCUUAGGGAUAACAGCGUAAUUUUUUUUGAGAGUUCUAAUCGAAAAAAAAGAUUGCGACCUCGAUGUUGGAUUAAAAUAAAUUUUUGGUGUAGCCGCUAAAAUAAUUAGGUCUGUUCGACCUUUAAAAUUUUACUUGAUCUGAGUU